UACAGAGGUCUCAAGCGUUGUUCGGAUUCAUUGGGCGUAAAGGGUGCGUAGGUGGCGCGCUAAGUCGGGUGUGAAAUUUCGGAGCUUAACUCCGAAACUGCAUUCGAUACUGGCGUGCUUGAGGGCUGGAGAGGAGACUGGAAUUCAUGGUGUAGCAGUGAAAUGCGUAGAGAUCAUGAGGAAGACCAGUGGCGAAGGCGGGUCUCUGGACAGUUCCUGACACUGAGGCACGAAGGCCAGGGGAGCAAACGGG
rnacentral:rRNA from 1 species